UACGUAGGCAGCAAGCGUUGUUCGGAGUUACUGGGCGUAAAGGGUGUGUAGGCGGUUUGAUAAGUGUGGUGUGAAAUCUCCCGGCUUAACUGGGAGGGUGCGCUACAAACUGUCUGACUAGAGUAUGGGAUGGGAGAGUGGAAUUCCCGGUGUAGCGGUGAAAUGCGCAGAGAUCGGGAGGAACACCCGUAGCGAAGGCGGCGCUCUGGGCCGGUACUGACGCUGAGGAGCGAAAGCGUGGGGAGCAAACAGG
rnacentral:rRNA from 1 species